GGGUGAUCUGGCUUCAACAUCUACCACCCAUUGAUCACCAGGGUUGAUUCAGCUGAUGUCUGGCUAUACAGGUGUCCCUUUCCUCCAGUGUUCCAUGCGUAACCCUCCUGAAGUUGAAAACUUGGUUGGAGAGGAUGACCUUCCCUGAUAGAAGAGGACCAUUCUUUAAUCAAGGGUGUUCAAGUAGCUCUCUAAGCUCUCAAGGUAAAGGUCUCACCUGCACUGU
rnacentral:snRNA from 2 species